CCUUCUUCUGUCUUAUCAGUAAAUCACUAUGGGGUCACAUCCAUCCUUUCAUUCUCAGACCCUUAGUUUUCAUUUCUAGACUAUACACCUCAUAAGAUGAAGGUCAAGUUCAUUGCAGAUAAGAUCGUGCCAGAUUACAUGCUGUAAGCUAUGUAAACAAAAAAUUCCUAUGUCCAAGUACAGCAUGUCCCUGCAAUAAACAGUAGGCUUCCUGAAAUUAUGAGCCUUCUUCCUCCUAUUGUACCAGCCUGCUUGUAACUACUAUCAAAAGAGAAACUAACAGAGGGUUCAAGGAAUAGAGUGUCCCUGCCUCGGACCAUAAAUUCCAGCAGAUAACAUCAAUAAAUAGGCAAUUCUGCCUUCCCAUCCCACAGAUUACUGGGGUUAGGAUAGGCCCACUUCCAGACUUUGUUCACAGAAUUUGUGAUCAGUGGUCAGGGUGUUCUGCCCUACUCACACUUGGUCACCAACAGAACUCAGCAACUGCCCAGGCACUUCACAUUCAGCCUCCAGAGGACAGCAGGCCCUGCUCAGCCCACCUUGUGAGCAAAUGUACUCUAUUUUCCCUACUUGAGAUUCAACUAAUGUCAUAAGACUCACCUUUUCAAAGCAUGCAGAUCAGUAGGUCUCAGCCUGUUCACAAGGUGUGUAGCCUUCAAGAAUGUCUAACUGCUGAACAUUUCAUCACCCAGAAAAAACAUUCCUCCUGUGAGCAGUCACUCCCCAGUCCUCCCUGUCUCAGCUGCCAGCAGGUGCCAGUCUGCUUUCUGCCUCUGCCUUUGCAGAUUCUGGGAACUUUGUGUGAGCAGCAUCCUAGGACAUUCACCCUUUGUUCCUUGUUCUCUUACUUCAGUGCAUGUUUUCUGGGAUUCUCCACAUUGUGCCUGUCUUUGUGCAUAUUCCAGCCUCUGAUGGGUUGUGUCUUGACAAAUGUACUUUAUUUAACAUAACGUUGGUAGUGUUCUGAGCCUACAUAAACAAGCUCAGAACCCUUGUAUCAGCUAACACAAAGCCUGCUUUGUAAUAAAGUGUGGAG
rnacentral:lncRNA from 1 species